AAUCCGCCAAAGCAGAGGAGGAUUUUCGUACGCCAGUUAACAAUUAGCAGCCAGAAAUAUUCUGAAAAUCUUGGAAUCAAAUGGAAUCUCCAUCGUUUACCCAAAAAAAAAAAAAAAAAUUGGAAUCUCCAUCUCCGUAGCCCUCCAUACAAUAAUUGGUGGCCUCAAAACCCCUCAAAAUUCCACAAUCACCCCACAAACUUCACUUGGAUAAUAAUUUGUGUCAGAAACCUGUUUGGUUCCCGGGAAAAUUCAACUGCUCGAAACGGUAAAGGUAAAGCAUUGUGAUGGUUCAUCGAGUUCUGCAACCAUGCUGAUGGUGUAUGCUUCAGGAGCUAUUACAUAUACAGAUUCAGCUCAUAAUUUUUUACAGCAUGAGGCAGUUUUACCCUGCAAGACUACCCAUGUGAAUUUCUUGAACAAAAUCUCUAUUUGUACUAACCCAAUUGGAGCUCCUUGUAAUUCUGCACUCUCUGCUUUCUACUUGUCAUGGAGAAGUCGUAAUCAGCUAAACAGCCCCAAGAAAUGGCUAUGCCGGAUGCAGGAUUCGAUUCCAUCUGAUGAUGAGUAUCGAUCAUCGCGCAACAUAGCAAUCAGUUUAUUUAGGCGGUACCGGAAUGUGGUCGACCGUGGAGGAGGUGCCAACCUAAACGAGUUCAUCAGUGCUGGGGUGAAUGCUUAUGCACUGGGCUGCACAGACGAGGGAUUAAGAAAAGAACUGCUUGAUAUGAAAGAAUCUGGUGUUGAAAUUGAAGGAAUGCAAAGCUAUGGUGGAACCACCAGUUUGAAAUUCAAGAUCACAUCGGAGGAGGUUGAUGAGUGCAUUCUGUGGUUGAGCAUUAUAUUCAUCACCAUAUUGUGUACGCCACAGCCAACAAUAGUUAGAUGGUCAUCCAUACCUCCAGUAUCGGACGAAGAAAGGCUUAAAUGGAAAGGCUUUUGUGCACUCAUAGCAAAUGCGUAUUUUGUGAGAGGAAUGGCAUGGCUUCCAGUAAAGACACUUCAACUAGAGCAAAUGGCAGUGGUUGGACAAGCCUGAGGAACCAUCAGUUGUUGCAAGUCGAAUGCGAUUAGUUUUUAGCACACUUGAGGUUGUGAGUCCACACUGGCCUAGAGUAUAGCGGUUCGGUGUCAAGAACAGAUGACAUCCUGCCCGUAUUUUUACAUUUGUAGUAUGUGAAUCUGUAUGGCCUAAACCUUUUCCACUUUAGAAUGGAAAACAGGGGAAAAUACUAUAGCCUCGUAAUCGAAUUUUUACUUAUGAAUGUGAAGAAUUUCAUUGUUUUGUUCA